CUGAACGUCUUAGGGCCAAAGCAAUCACUGCUCCUCAUAUCUGCUCUGCAAAGAUGCUUAGCUUCAGCUUUGAAGUGAGGCAGCCACCUUUGUAAGAGGAGAGCUGUAUGUCUUCCCAAGACACAUUUUACCUUGUCGGUGGCUAUAGCGUUAACAUUGGCAGCUCGCCAAGCCCUCUCGCCUUUCCCACUUAAAUAAAACCAGAACAACAGUGAUGCUGGAAUGAAAGGCUGCUGCUGUCAUUCUCCCUGGAUCGCACUCUUCUGUCAGGGGAUGAAGGUGAGACUGCAAGCAAGCCUUAUGAACGCUUCCAUUUACAGUAACCAGAUGAUGGAACCUAUGUAACAACCUUCCUACAGGUCACUGAGACCAGGUAGGUGUCAGCCAGCUGAGAGACUUCAAAGAAUAAUGAAGAGGACAUCUGAAAUGAGCAAGCACACGACGGGUGCGGAGCAAAGACUUCAGAAAUCCCCCCAGGCCUUUCUUGGAUCACAUAGAAAAGGAAACAGGCAUCUGCUUGCUGAUUGCACGGAAAUCAUCAAGAUGAGCUGGACGGAUGAUAAACUGGUUCUUAGAAGAAGGCAGCGAUGGAUCUGCAAGCCUGUGUUCAUUUGUAACGCUGCACAUGUUGGGCCCAAGGUCAGCAGGUGCAGGCUGAUUCGGAUCUCAUGAACACAACUCGUUAAAUCCUGCCAGGUGAUCACCAGCCAGACUGCUGCAGGGGAGCUGUGCCUCGUGCCAGCUUCCCUGCUCCAAAGCAGAUUGCAAAGCACAGCUCUGUGAUGGAUCCAGGCUGUAUCAGGGGGUGUGGGCCCAGUUAUUGGAAGAGUCUGAAUCACGGUGAGCUAGGCCCAUUGUCUGCCCCAUCACCCCUAAAAUAAAAGGCUGUCACUAGCUCA
rnacentral:lncRNA from 1 species